UACAGAGGGUGCAAGCGUUAAUCGGAUUUACUGGGCGUAAAGCGUGUGUAGGUGGUUGUUCAAGUCGGUUGUGAAAUCCCUGGGCUCAACCUGGGAAUUGCUUCCGAGACUGAGCGACUAGAGUACGGUAGAGGGCGGUGGAAUUUCCGGUGUAGCGGUGAAAUGCGUAGAUAUCGGAAGGAACACCAAUGGCGAAGGCAGCCGCCUGGGCCUGUACUGACACUGAGACACGAAAGCGUGGGGACCAAACAGG
rnacentral:rRNA from 1 species